GGGCCCGUAGCUUAGCCUGGUUAGAGCGCCCGGCUCAUAACCGGGUGGUCAAGGGUUCAAAUCCCUUCGGGCCCACCA
rnacentral:tRNA from 1 species